GCCCGGAUGGUCUAGUGGUAUGAUUCUCGCUUGUGAGUUCCAUAUCUAACAAUUAAUCUACUUGACACGUAUACUAAUGAGAGUCUAGCGGGCUGGCUCCACAGCACAAUAUGCGAGAGGUCCCGCGUUCGAAUCGCGGUUCGGGCC